rnacentral:lncRNA from 1 species
UGUUGUUUUUGUCACAGUUGGGCGUCCCAAGAUCUAACAAUAAUAGCUGUAAUUAAUGUAUAGAGUGCCUAUGACAAACACUUUACAAAUAUCUUCAUGGAAACUCUGAAAAUUAAUAGUUACAUUAGAGGAAGAAACUGAAGGUCAAUGAGUUUAAGUCACACAGCCAGCAAGCAGUUGAAUCAGGUUUCAAAUCCAGUUUUGACAAAGUCUAAUGCAUUUUUGUUUUCAGGAUAACCUUUAUGCAGAUGUAAUACAACAACUUUUCAACAGCUUUCUAUUUGGAACUAAGAGUAAAGGGAAUAGAUUAGUGACUAGUGCAUGGAGUGAUUAAUCUGGUUUCCCACUCUACCUGGCAGAGAAAUAAAAGGUGAAAUAACCUCACACUUACAUACCAUUGAAAACCUUGAAGUCAGUUACUGUUUUACUUUCUCAACCCUAACAUCAUCACUGAUCAUUCAAAAUAUAAGUACCUCUAGUCAAAUCUCUUCUUUUAAUACUUGUCAUAGUCAACACCAUUAUUAGAAACAACAGUUGAUACAGCAUUUAGCAUAUUUCAGGCCUGUUCUAAGCAAUGUACAUAAUUAGUCCCUUUAAGUACUUUUUACCCCCAUCAUUGAAAAUAAUAUUAUUCCUAUUUUACGUAAGAGAAAACAGAGUCCUAGAGAAGUGAAGAAUCACACUCAAGACCACAUUGGUAAGUUUGACAGCAGAUUUGAGCCCAGGCUACAUAGUCCCAAGACCCAAACUCUCACUUUACAUAGCUCUGCUGCACUGCUCAGGGCCUCCUUUCCCAACUCCUGAUGGCAAGUUAUACAAGGCCCCCUGAAAAACCCAGUCCUACUCACAUAAAAUCUCCUCUGGUCUAACCAUAUGACCAGAAUCUAACCAUUCUCGUCAUAGAAAGCCAUUCUUUAAAUCCCAAAUAUCAAUACUCGGAGCCUUAAUUGGAAAAUUUCCCAAAGAACAUUGAGUUUACAAUAUACCUUUGAAAAAAAAGAAAAUAAACACUGGAUAUGUUUAGGUUUUUAAUUAUUGAAUUUUUUUUUUUUACUUGCAGAUAUAGCCAUAAAUGUUUUAAGAUCCAUAAGCAAACUAAAGCAAUUAUGCCAAUAAUGACUAAGGCCACUGCUUCCUCAAUUGAGUCUUUGAUAUAAAAGCCUUCACUUUUGGUUAAUUACAAAAACAAAAACAAAAACAAAAAAAAACUUUGGGAGGUAUGUGUCAGUGAGAGUAGGCCUGCUACUGAUGAGAAGGACCAGCAACUUAGCAACACCAUAAAAUGUCUGCUGCAAUUCAGGUGUCUAGGUGUCUCCCUGAGAACCAACAUUUCAUAUACAGCUGUUCCCAGAAAACAAUCUUGCACAACCUGUACAGUCAAGUUAUGAUCUAAAAGGAGUUAAUUGCAACAUCCAUACAAAGAAUAUGACAGUAUUUUUCAUCAAGGUCUUUUUCUAUAAGUUUUUCUAUAACUUUUCCUAUAAGUUUUAUUAUAUCUAUAGUCAUGUGCUGCCUAACAAUGUUUAGGUCAAUGAUGAACCUCAUAUAUGACAGUUGUCCCACAAAAUCAUAUCAUAUUUUUACUGUACCUUUUCUAUGUUUAUAUAUAUUUAGGUACACAAAUACUUACCAUUCUGUUAUAAUUGCCUACAGUAUUCAGUACAGUCAUAUGCUGUACAGGUUUGUAGCCUAGGAGCAAUAGGCUAUGCCAUAUAGCCUAGGUGUGUAAUAGGCUAUACCAUUUAGAGAGGUUUGUGUUAAUAUACUCUAUGAUGUUCACAGGACAAAAUCACCUAAAAAUACAUUUCUCAGAACAUAUCCCCAUUGCUAAGCAAUGCAUGACUAAAUUUGUAUAACUUCCUAAGAGAUUAUCCCCUCUUCGCCACUCCCACUCCUUUCAGCCCUACGUCAUUUCUCAUCUUAGCCACUGUAGUAUCCUUCUAACUCAUCUCCCUGUCCAGAUUUGAAAACAUUCCUGAACACACCCCACACUACUGCCAGUGAUCAUCUAAGGCACCCCUUUCUGAAAACACUUAUAAUGAAAUCCAAAUCCCAUGGCAUACCAUAUAAAGUCCUAUUCCUGACCUACACAUUCAACCUAAUUUAGAGAACUAUUUGUAGUUCCUCAAACUCAUCAUACUACUUCCAAUGUCCAUGCUUUUGCUCGGAAAGCCUUUCUCUGUUUUUCACCUAGUCAAAAGGCGACUUUACUUCUUUAAAGACUCAACUCACAUACCAGGUGCUCUGAGCUCUAUCAUCUCCAGACUCUGUAAAAUGAUUUCUCUUUGAACCCCAGAGUAUCUUGUACAUACCUCCAUUGUAGAGUAUACCAUACUGUUGUAAUUCUAUGUGUACAUAGAUGUUGAUCUCUCUCACUAGACUGAGAACUCCUUGAGGACGGGGAUGGUGUCUAAUUCAUCUCCAUAUCCCCAUUACCCAGCACAGUGCCUGGCAGCUCAGAUGACAUUAGAGAGGAGAGAUGCUGAAUAUGCAGGAGAAUAAAGCAAUGUUCUUGAGUAGUGGUACAACACAAAUAUGCUGAAUGAAUUGAAGCUAUAGAAAAACAUUUUGGCUCAAUAUUGUAAAAAGGUCUCAAAAGAAGGGACAAGCUAACUCAAGGAGGAGUCCCCAGUUACCAAGUAAACUUACUCACAAGUUAAAAGACCAUUUGUUGGGUAUGUUAUCCAGGGACUUCAACUGGGGUUAGUUUAAAAUAAUCUAUUUGGGAUAGGAGAUUUUUAAGGUCCUCCCAUCCUGGAGCUUCUAAAUCUAUGAUCUGUGCCAUAGUCAAGACAGCCAUCAUUCUGAGAGUCUAUGUCACAGAGUGAACGGUGACUCCCACAGUUGUGGACAAAGGCUAAAAGCAGAUCACAAACUUAUAACUCAUUUGGUUGGGUAUGGUGGUCGACACCUGUAAUCCCAGUACUUUGGGUGGCUGAGGUGGGCAGAUUACUUGAGCCCAGGAGUUUAAGACCAGCCUGGACAACAUGGCAAAACCCCAUCUCUAUGAAAAAUACAAAAAUUAGCCAGGCAUGGUGACAUGUACCUGUAGUCCCAGCUACCCAGGAGGCGGAGGUGGAAGGAUCAUCUGAGCACAGGGAGGCGGAGGUUGUAGUGAGCUGGGAUUGUACCACGGCACUCCAGCCUGAGCAACAGAGUGAGACCUUGUCUUAAAACGAUACAAAAACAAACAAAAAACCCCUCGUCCUCUGUUGGCCCUGUUCCCAAUUGACUCUUGAACCUGGCGCAGGAAGUGUUUUUAAGGCCAACAAAAAGGACCUCAUGACCCUAACUAUAUCCUUUACAAGCUGCUACCUAAUGUUUUAAAUUCCCCCUUAAAACCUUUGGUGCCUUUCAUUCAUGUUUGCUAAAAUGCCACUUAAUCUAAUAUGUUGAGCUAGUAUCAAUUAACUUCACACUACAUAGUAGAUACAAGGAACACACCAUCCGUUCCCAUACCCUGUGAGAUCUAAUCCAACCCUCUUCCCUUAACACAAAUCUAAGAACACCCACCAAAUGUCCAGAUUUUUAACUCUGGUACUCAGUUUCUUGAAGUGCAAAAUACAGAAGUUGUAUUGAAUAAUUCCCCACAUCCUUUCUUCUCAUGAUAUUCUAAAGAGCUUCUGAGCCUGUUUUCCACCUAUAAAUUAGAUACAUUGGUGAAUCUGUUCUUAUUCCUAACCAAACUGUUACAAGGGUCAAAUAAAACCAUGUUUGUAAAAGGCUUCUAGAAACAAUAAAGUACAAAAAUAAAAUAAUUAACUAAAAAUAAAAA